rnacentral:sRNA from 1 species
UUCACUGACCAUUAUCUCAUUUGUUCUUUUGCUUUAUUAUUUUGAGUAGACAUGUAAUAAUUUGUAAAUAAUUUUCUGGAGAAGGUUCUUAUACAGCAAUCAGUGGUAACUUUGUAGGCUUAUAACUGGUCAAAGUGCUGAGCAUAGGGACUGUUGAAACCUCACAUGAACAUGAGAAUACUUUAUCAUUCCUCAAACUAUCUUGAAGGAGAUAAUAAUUGGUAAAUAAUAAGUGCCAAAAAGGAUGUGUGAUAGGUUUGAACAUCUUUCAAACAUAACAUCACUAUUAUACCAUUGGUCUCACAGAACAUGUCAUUACUGGCACAAAACCUGUGCAAGUUUGGAUCUGUUAACCUUCUGUCAUGGGAAGCAGAGAAGGGCUCAUGAACACCAUAGUAGAAACUUUAUGACAGCUUGGCUUUGUACAAAUUUGGCAAUUAUUCUACAGGUGAGUAACACUCUUCCUCCAAAUAUUUAAGGUUCUCCUUUCUUUAUGUAAAAGCUUAACCUUCCAUCUAUAUCUUGUUUUUCCAAUUAUAAUUGAUAGAUAAUAUGUUUCAGUACUUCUAAAUUCAAAUGUGAGUUUUUUUUUAAUUUGAUAUAUUUUCUCUAAUUCUCAAUGUCAGCAUAAAAAAAUUGAAAUUUGAAGUCAAUAUACCUAAAUUAUUCUCUGUCACUGGAAUUUAUGAAACUGGUGCUUUAGAGAAGGGGAAAUGUCAGGCUAUGAUUUAAUCAGUGGAGAUCCUUAGGAGUCAGGGUGAUUAUGGAACCUAAGAAAGAAAAAUGUCCCAGACUAUAUAACUUGGCCUGACAGCUCAAUAUCUUUAUACUAUAAUUUAUGUCCAUGUUGUCUCCAAAUAAUAACACAGCUUAUGGACAAAGAGAGAAAUUUAGAUACCCUCACAUGAUUGUGAGAAAAUUGUCAGUCAUUCAUUUUGACAUUUCUUCCUGUAUAGGAUGUUUUUCUUUAUACUGUCAUUAAUUUCCAACCAUAGCUAAGUCUUGGAGAAUGUGGUGCAUAUAAUGAGGUUUUAUAGUUUUGUGUCAGUCCAUCAGGUCUUAUGUUACAGUCCUUGAACCAUUUGCAGUCGAGUUUAAGAUGGUAAUCGAUAAAGAUAUAUUUUCAUUCUUCUAUCUACAGUUUUCCAGGUUAAUAAGAAGCAUUUAGUAUGUUUUUCAUUUUUUUUAAAUGACUGUAUCAAUAUAGGAUUAUACAUUAUUCAUCCUUUCUAUUCAACUGAUCAAUGUAAUAUAUUGUUAUGACAUUUAAGUCGUAUCAUUUUAAAGUAGUAUCAUUGUUGUGUAUGAAGACUAUCAAAUUUUCUGCGUUAAACUCUAAUCCUAUCAACUUUGUGGGUGAAACAGUAACAAGAGAUUUCUAGUUGAAAAUUAAGGAUAACAUAUAUAUAUAUAUAUAUAUGUAUAUAUAUAAAAACAUCAUAUUCAAAUGAAGAUAACUUAACAUUCCCAUCUGUAUCACAUUUUACUUCUUCAACAUUUUUCUAUCGAUAAUUCUUGCAUUCCCUAAUACUGUGAUAAGUAAUGGAAUGAAUUUGUCUUGUUCCAAAGUAUUAUCAUUAAUACAUGUCUCCACUUACUAAAAUUUUGGCUUUUGUUAUAUAUUACCUAUAUUAAGUCAAUAUAUGUUCUCUAUAUCCUUACCAGUGGUAAUAUUUCUGAAAAAAUAAUUUGACACUUGCUCAUCCAGCAGCCAUCGAUGUUAAUUUCAUAUGAUCAAACUAUUGGUGAGUACACAUUUAUCGUAAUUGGAAUUUUAAUGGUUUUUCAUUAAUUAUCGACCAACACUGAAUGCAACCAGAAUUAUUUCUCAGAAACCCCUUAGAACAGCACAAAUUCUUGGAUAUAACCUGAAACACAUAUUUUUGUGUGUGAAAAUGACCAUUUAGAAUAGCAUCAAAUAAUUUUAUGCUAGGACGUACAAUGUCCGUCGACAUGUUUUUUAUGUAUGUUUGCAGUGCCAUGCCUCAUUUUUUAGCCUCUGAAGGAAGCCUCAAUUGCGAUAAAGAAAGCGGUUGUUUAGUCCUAUAGACCGUUUCACUGGUACUGUACUUUUGGCACAUUUUGCCUCUCAUGUCAUUAUUGUAGCCUGCAAUGUCCAGCAGUACGUAAAUAAAUCACUAUCUUUGAUCUUGCUAAUAAUCUGAAUAGCACUUCCAUGUAGUAUUAAAGAGAGCUAACAGAA